UACGAGUGGUGCAAGCGUUAUUCGGAUUUAUUGGGCGUAAAGGGUGUGUAGACGACCUGCUAAGUUGCUUGUUUAAUCCUCCGGCCUAACCGGAGACCAGCGAGCAAAACUGACGGGUUCGAGGUUGGAAGAGAGAAGUGGAAUUCUUGGAGUAGCGGUAAAAUGCGUAGAUCUCAAGAGGAACACCAAUGGCGAAGGCAGCUUCUUGGUCCAUACCUGACGUUGAAACACGAAAGCGUGGGGAGCAAACAGG
rnacentral:rRNA from 1 species